UGCCAGCAGCCGCGGUAAUACGGAGGGAGCAAACGUUGUUCGGAUUUACUGGGUGUAAAGGGUGUGUAGGCGGCUUGGUAUGUCAGAGGUGAAAUACUGCGGCUCAACCGUAGAACUGCCUUUGAAACUGCCAAGCUUGAGUCCGUGAGAGGUUGGUGGAAUUCCUGGUGUAACGGUGAAAUGUGCAGAUAUCAGGAAGAACACCCAUGGCGAAGGCAGCCAACUGGCACGGUACUGACGCUGAGGCACGAAAGCUAGGGUAUCGAACGGGAUUAGAUA
rnacentral:rRNA from 1 species